GAUGAACGCUGGCGGCGUGCCUAAUACAUGCAAGUCGAACGAAACUUCUUUAUCACCGAGUGCUUGCACUCGCCGAUAAAGAGUUGAGUGGCGAACGGGUGAGUAACACGUGGGCAACCUGCCCAAAAGAGGGGGAUAACACUUGGAAGCAGGUGCUAAUACCGCAUAACCAUAGUUACCGCAUGGUAACUAUGUAAAAGGUGGCUAUACUACCGCUUUUGGAUGGGCCCGCGGCGCAUUAGCUAGUUGGUAGGGUAAAGGCUUACCAAGGCAAUGAUGCGUAGCCGAAUUGAGAGGUUGAUCGGCCACAUUGGGACUGAGACACGGCCCAAACUCCUACGGGAGGCAGCAGUAGGGAAUCUUCCACAAUGGGCGAAAGCCUGAUGGAGCAACGCCGCGUGGGUGAAGAAGGUCUUCGGAUCGUAAAACCCUGUUGUUAGAGAAGAAAGUGCGUGAGAGUAACUGUUCACGUUUCGACGGUAUCUAACCAGAAAGCCACGGCUAACUACGUG
rnacentral:rRNA from 1 species